AGACCUCCAAGGACAAGAACCAGUGAAGCCUGGGCCAUUGUGAGGAUUGAAUGAGCUAAUGCAUGCCCACGUGCCCACCUCAUGGUGGGAGCAAGCCAUUGCCUCCCCCUCAGAGGACCCAGUGGAGAGAAGGUUGACAGCUUGGCAUUCUCUUUGGAAUGGCUGUUGACUUCGCACUGCCAUCCACAGAAGAGCUCCAUAACCCCACCCAAGGGCACGGAAUGGCCUUUCCUUAAAGAACGAAGACCAGAACUGGUCAUUUACCCAGGCCGAGCCAGACCUAUAUGAUACAUCAAAAGCAGAACAGAAAGAAAGGGAAUGAGAGAAUCCAAAUGAGUUUAUUUGUCCAUUAAAUAAAUAUGCAAAAUUAUGCAGAUGUGGAA
rnacentral:lncRNA from 10 species